rnacentral:rRNA from 1 species
UUGGAGGGCAAGUCUGGUGCCAGCAGCCGCGGUAAUUCCAGCUCCAAUAGCGUAUAUUAAAGUUGUUGCAGUUAAAAAGCUCGUAGUUGAAUUUCGGGAUCAAUUUAUUGGUCGUGCUAUUGUACGUACUGGUAUUAUUGAUUUCUACCUUCUGACGAACCAUGAUGUCAUUAAUUUGGUGUCUUGGGGAAUCAGGACUGUUACUUUGAAAAAAUUAGAGUGUUUAAAGCAGGCUCACGCUUGAAUACAUUAGCAUGGAAUAACGAAAUAGGACGUUUGAUUCUAUUUUGUUGGUUUCUAGGAUCGACGUAAUGAUUAAUAGGGAUAGUUGGGGGCAUUAGUAUUCAAUUGUCAGAGGUGAAACUCUUGGAUUUAUUGAAGACUAACUACUGCGAAAGCAUUUGCCAAGGAUGUUUUCAUUAAUCAAGAACGAAGGUUAGGGGAUCGAAGACGACCAGAUACCGUCGUAGUCUUAACCAUAAACUAUGCCGACUAGGGAUCGGAUGAUGUUAAUUUUUUAAUGACUCAUUCGGCGCCUUACGGGAAACCAAAGUGUUUGGGUUC